rnacentral:ncRNA from 1 species
AAAGGCUUGGUCCUGACUUUACUAUCAGCUUUAGCCCAGUUCACACAUGCAAGUAUCCGCAUUCCCGUGAGGAUGCCCCAAACCUCCGUCCGAGGACAAGGAGCAGGUAUCAGGCACGACAAUUCAGCCCAAGACACCUUGCUAUGCCACACCCCCAAGGGACUAUCAGCAGUUGUAAACAUUAGGCCAUUAGUGAAAACUAGACCUAGCUAUGGUUAAAAGAGUCGGUAAAAUUCGUGCCAGCUACCGCGGUUAUACGAAAGACUCUAGUUGAUAGAUACCGGCACAAAGAGUGGUUAAGAAGUUAAAUAAAAAUAGGAUUAAAGAUCUUCCAAGCUGUUAUACGCCGUUGAAAACACGAAACCCACACUACGAAAGUGAUCCUACCAUAAUUAUCUGAUUCCACGAAAGUUGAGAAACAAACUGGGAUUAGAGACCCCACUAUGCUCAACCGUAAACUCAGAUGUGAGUUACACCUCAUCCGCCUGGGUAUUACGAGCACAGCUUAAAACCCAAAGGACUUGGCGGUGCUUCAGAUCCCCCUAGAGGAGCCUGUUCUAGAACCGAUACCCCCCGUUAAACCUCUCCACCUCUUGUCAGUACCGUCUAUAUACCGCCGUCGUCAGCUCACCCUGCAAGGGAACAAAAGAAAGCAAAAUGGAUGCUCUCCAAAACGUCAGGUCGAGGUGUAGUGUAUGAGGUGGCAAGAAAUGGGCUACAUUUUCUAACCAUAGAAUAUACGAACAGCAUUAAUGAAAUAUUAGGCUUAAAGGAGGAUUUAGUAGUAAAAAGAAAACAGAGAGUUCUUUUGAAAUAGGCUUUGAAGCGCGCACACACCGCCCGUCAAUCUCCCC